AGUUUUUGAAGGGUUUAGUUCUUUGUUUUAUUUCUGUGUCACUGACCUUUUUCAUUUUUAUGUGUGGAUUUGUUAGGCGCAUCAACACAUGAAAUAGACAUCGUGUCCAAAAGAAGAGCGAGACGUAAUCCUGAGGCUGAAGCCACCGAGUUUAUUUGAUCUGGAUGUGACAAGUCUUGUUUUAAGGCCCAGUGGAUCAAUGAUUGGAAAGACACCAACUGUUGAUGUUCUAUCUCAACAUUCUCCAGAUUCAUGUGAGCGAUAAACCGACUUCAUCCCUCCAACAGACACCAACUGUUGGGGUUCUAUCUCAACAUUCUCCAGAUUCAGAUGUGAGCGAUAAACCGACUUCAUCCCUCCAACAGAAACCAACUGUUGAGGUUCCAUCUCAACAUUCUCCGGAUUCAGAUGUGAGCCAUUAACUGACUUCAUCCCUCCAACAGAAACCAACUGUUUGAGGUUCUAUCUCAACAUUCUCUAGAUUCAGAUGACAGCCAUAAACCGACUUCAUCCCUCCAACAGAUUGACAGCAGGACAAAUCGCUGGAAGUGGGUAUGUCUCAAGCUUCUUCCACUUGGUCCACUCUAAAGCGGGCUGCAAAGGGGAAGAAGUGGAAGCAGUUGAAUGACACAUGUUGCAUUUUGUAACUGGCAACAAAGUACCAGGUAAAAAAGAUUGUGAAGCCUGCCUCCAUAAAGAACUAGUAGCUCUACAGGACAGAGAUUGGCUUGCCAUCAAGUACUACAUCCAUAACAGAAUUAUAUUAAAAAAAGGGAAAAAAAAUGUUUUCCCACAUCUUCUGUGGUAGUUUGAGUAUGUUACCAGCAAUUAAAAAAGCAAAAUAAACA